CCUUUUAAAGGAUACACAGAAAUCCGUCGCCCUUAGAAGGCGAUACUCUUGGUGCAACUCCAAGUAAAAGUA
rnacentral:tRNA from 1 species